rnacentral:rRNA from 1 species
UACGUAGGGUGCGAGCGUUGUCCGGAUUUAUUGGGCGUAAAGAGCUCGUAGGCGGUUUGUCGCGUCGGCCGUGAAAUCUCCACGCUUAACGUGGAGCGUGCGGUCGAUACGGGCAGACUUGAGUUCGGUAGGGGAGACUGGAAUUCCUGGUGUAGCGGUGGAAUGCGCAGAUAUCAGGAGGAACACCGAUGGCGAAGGCAGCUCGCUGGGACGGUACUGACGCUGAGGCGCGAAAGCGUGGGGAGCGAACAGG